GACAGAGGGUGCAAACGUUGUCCGGAAUUAUUGGGCGUAAAGAGCUCGUAGGCGGUCUGUCGCGUCUGCUGUGAAAACUCAGGGCUUAACCCUGAGCUUGCAGUGGGUACGGGCAGACUAGAGUGCGGUAGGGGAGACUGGAAUUCCUGGUGUAGCGGUGAAAUGCGCAGAUAUCAGGAGGAACACCGGUGGCGAAGGCGGGUCUCUGGGCCGUAACUGACGCUGAGGAGCGAAAGCAUGGGGAGCGAACAGG
rnacentral:rRNA from 1 species